rnacentral:rRNA from 1 species
GAGGAAUAUUGGACAAUGGAGGCAACUCUGAUCCAGCCAUGCCGCGUGAAGGAAUAAGGCCCUAUGGGUCGUAAACUUCUUUUGACGACGCGCAAUAAGGACUCAGUGUAGUCUGCUGAAAGUAUGCGUCGAAUAAGCAUCGGCUAACUCGGUGCCAGCAGCCGCGGUAAUACGGAGGAUGCAAGCGUUAUCCGGAUUUAUUGGGUUUAAAGGGUGCGUAGGCUGAAGAUCAAGUCAGCGGUGAAAUGUCCCGGCUCAACCGGGGCCUUGCCGUUGAAACUGGUCAUCUGGAAUGCGGAUGCCGUGGGAGGAAUGUGUGGUGUAGCGGUGAAAUGCAUAGAUAUCACACAGAACACCGAUUGCGAAGGCAUCUCACGAAUCCGCUAUUGACGCUGAGGCACGAAAGCGUGGGGAUCAAACAGG